UGUAAUUUGCAGAGGAUGUCAUGAGAUUAGUGUGGACUCAAGUUCUUUGGAAAAAGACGCCAUGGAGAGUGACAGUCUCGUCCUGUCCAGCCNCUCAUCUCUCGUAUGACUCCUUCAAAGAGUCGAGUUGUUUGGGAAUGCAGCUCAAAGUGGGACGUAAAUUUGUUCCAAAGCUAAAUACCGGCUAGAGACCGAUAGCGCACAAGUAGAGUGAUCGAAAGAUGAAAAGCACUUUGAAAAGAGAGUUAAAAAGCACGUGAAAUUGUUGAAAGGGAAGCUUAUGUCAUCAGAAAUGACGUCAAUGUUCAGCCUUUUGGUGUAUUCAUUGGCCGUCAAGCUAGCAUCAAUUGGGAUAGUCGGAUAAAAGUGUCGGAAAUGUAGCUCCUCCGGGAGUGUUAUAGUCCGUCACAGAAUGCGACUAAUGCCGAUUGAGGACCGCUUUCAGGAUGCUGGC
rnacentral:rRNA from 1 species